UACGGAGGGGGCUAGCGUUGUUCGGAAUUACUGGGCGUAAAGCGCGCGUAGGCGGCCUCUUAAGUCAGGGGUGAAAGCCCGGGGCUCAACCUCGGAACUGCCUUUGAUACUGUGAGUCUCGAGGCCGGAAGAGGUGAGUGGAAUUCCUAGUGUAGAGGUGAAAUUCGUAGAUAUUAGGAAGAACACCAGUGGCGAAGGCGGCUCACUGGUCCGGUUCUGACGAUGAGGUGCGAAAGCGUGGGGAGCAAACAGG
rnacentral:rRNA from 1 species